GUGGACCGGGGGGAUCUCUAGAGAUUAGAGUUUGAUCCUGGCUCAGGAUGAACGCUGGCGGCGUGCUUAACACAUGCAAGUCGAACGAUGAACCUCACUUGUGGGGGGAUUAGUGGCGAACGGGUGAGUAACACGUGAGUAACCUGCCCUUAACUCUGGGAUAAGCCUGGGAAACUGGGUCUAAUACCGGAUAUGACUCCUCAUCGCAUGGUGGGGGGUGGAAAGCUUUUUGUGGUUUUGGAUGGACUCGCGGCCUAUCAGCUUGUUGGUGAGGUAAUGGCUCACCAAGGCGACGACGGGUAGCCGGCCUGAGAGGGUGACCGGCCACACUGGGACUGAGACACGGCCCAGACUCCUACGGGAGGCAGCAGUGGGGAAUAUUGCACAAUGGGCGAAAGCCUGAUGCAGCGACGCCGCGUGAGGGAUGACGGCCUUCGGGUUGUAAACCUCUUUCAGUAGGGAAGAAGCGAAAGUGACGGUACCUGCAGAAGAAGCGCCGGCUAACUACGUGCCAGCAGCCGCAGUAAUACGUAGGGCGCAAGCGUUAUCCGGAAUUAUUGGGCGUAAAGAGCUCGUAGGCGGUUUGUCGCGUCUGCCGUGAAAGUCCGGGGCUCAACUCCGGAUCUGCGGUGGGUACGGGCAGACUAGAGUGAUGUAGGGGAGACUGGAAUUCCUGGUGUAGCGGUGAAAUGCGUAGAUAUCAGGAGGAACACCGAUGGCGAAGGCAGGUCUCUGGGCAUUAACUGACGCUGAGGAGCGAAAGCAUGGGGAGCGAACAGGAUUAGAUACCCUGGUAGUCCAUGCCGUAAACGUUGGGCACUAGGUGUGGGGGACAUUCCACGUUUUCCGCGCCGUAGCUAACGCAUUAAGUGCCCCGCCUGGGGAGUACGGCCGCAAGGCUAAAACUCAAAGGAAUUGACGGGGGGCCGCACAAGCGGCGGAGCAUGCGGAUUAAUUCGAUGCAACGCGAAGAACCUUACCAAGGCUUGACAUGGGCCGGACCGGGCUGGAAACAGUCCUUCCCCUUUGGGGCCGGUUCACAGGUGGUGCAUGGUUGUCGUCAGCUCGUGUCGUGAGAUGUUGGGUUAAGUCCCGCAACGAGCGCAACCCUCGUUCUAUGUUGCCAGCGCGUGAUGGCGGGGACUCAUAGGAGACUGCCGGGGUCAACUCGGAGGAAGGUGGGGACGACGUCAAAUCAUCAUGCCCCUUAUGUCUUGGGCUUCACGCAUGCUACAAUGGCCGGUACAAAGGGUUGCGAUACUGUGAGGUGGAGCAAU
rnacentral:rRNA from 2 species